UCUAUCAUUACAUUCUCAUCAGAAGGUUGCGUGUUCAGAUCACGUCGGGGUCACCAGAAUAUGUAGCAGCCAUGCAGCGUAUGAUAGAUAACUUGAUAAAUAAAAAUACCGCUACAUAUUAACUUGUAUUACUUGGGCUGUA